rnacentral:rRNA from 1 species
AGAGUUUGAUCAUGGCUCAGAUUGAACGCUGGCGGCGUGCCUAACACAUGCAAGUCGAGCGGUAACAGGUGUAGCAAUACAUGCUGACGAGCGGCGAACGGGUGAGUAAUGCUUUGGAAUCUUCCCAGUAGUGGGGAAUAACCAGUCGAAAGAUUGGCUAAUACCGCAUACGUCUGUAAAGGGAAAGCGGGGGCUCGUAAGACCUCGCGCUAUUGGAUGAGCCAAAGUCGGAUUAGCUAGUUGGUGGGGUAAUGGCCUACCAAGGCGACAAUCCGUAGCUGGUCUGAGAGGACGACCAGCCACACCGGAACUGAGACACGGUCCAGACUCCUACGGGAGGCAGCAGUGGGGAAUAUUGGACAAUGGGGGAAACCCUGAUCCAGCGACGCCGCGUGUGUGAAGAAGGCCUGCGGGUUGUAAAGCACUUUUAGUGGGGACAAAAAGCUACGGACUAACACUCUGUGGUCUUGAUUUAACCCAAAGAAAAAGCACCGGCUAACUCUGUGCCAGCAGCCGCGGUAAUACAGAGGGUGCGAGCGUUAAUCGGAAUUACUGGGCGUAAAGCGCGCGUAGACGGUUUUGUAAGUCAGAUGUGAAAUCCCUGGGCUCAACCCGGGAACUGCAUUUGAAACUGCAUGGCUAGAGUAUCGAAGAGGGAAGUGGAAUUUCCGGCGUAGCGGUGAAAUGCGUAGAUAUCGGAAGGAACACCAGUGGCGAAAGCGACUUCCUGGUCGAAUACUGACGUUCAUGUGCGAAAGCGUGGGGAGCAAACAGGAUUAGAUACCCUAGUAGUCC